CCCCCAGAAUUUAGCAUAGUUAAUAAAGGAGGAGAAGAAACCAACCGGGAUCCCUGAGUAGCUGCGAGGCGAAACGGGAGAAGCUCAGCACGUAGGCGGUGUUAACCUGCACACCUGAUCGAAUUCCGUGAACUGGACGACCAUUAUCUACUUAUGCACGGUGCAAAACAGUUCAAGUUCCAACUGAAGGUGGCUCAUUUCUACCCAGAGAGGCGUGAUAGGCCGUAGAACGGCACUAACCCAGUGACAGUAGACGGUCGGCCCCCAUGAGUCUGUUAGCUGAUAGAUGCAGCACUAAGUGGAGGUUAAACUCUUCAAAGCAAUACCCCAUGAGACCGAUAGAAGACAAAGUACCGUUGAGGGAAAGUUGAAAGCACUCUGAAUAGAGAGAUCAAAGAGUACGUGAAAAUGCCUAGGGGACGCAAACCUGUAGAACCACAAUGCUUCCCCGUGCGGUGCGAGUAUUCAGCGGUCACGUUGGCCCACGCCGGGUCGGCUGCCGUGCACUUAUCAAGACCGCCAGACAGGACAUCGCGAUCCAUUAACAAUACUUCGACUGGCAAUGCCCCUAGCUGUCGUGGUUGGCGCUCUUCAGUACGGACGUCGGCGGCUUUCCCGGACCAGGUGUCUCCGCGCCUUUCACACCAGAGAGCGCAGGGCCCGACCGAGCUUGGUGUGUCGCUGGAAGCGUGAGUGGAUUGAUACGAGCUGGGGAUGGGCGCACGGCCUACAUAGCCCGACGGCCCAUCCAGCACUUGACCCCUCCGAUCGGUGAUCGACGCAUGAUGCUUGGGGCACUACGGGACCGUCUUGAACAGCGG
rnacentral:rRNA from 1 species